UCCCUCUCAGGGUUGCGUCUGGAGAGUGUCCAGUACUCUACCAGUCUCAACUACAGGAGGGAAAGUCAAGCAGAGGCCUGGCCAUUCCAUAACUAGCUUGGGCAGUGGCUAGCGAGUGGAAGGCCAUCUGCCACAAGU